rnacentral:snRNA from 1 species
GAGAAUAUGGAACGCCUCACGAUUUUGCGUGUCAUCUUUGCGAAAGGACCAUGCUAAUCUUCUUUGUGUCGUUCCAAUUUUAGUAUAUGUACCGAAUUAUUUGCAC